UGCGGAAAGGGACCGGGCCUGCGGAAAGGGACGGGGCCUGCAGAAAGGGACGGGGCUUGAAAAGGCCUGGUCUACCUUACCGAGCCGGGUCGCGGGGGCUCCUAGGGGGUUCCUUCCACAGCUGAUGCGCGUGCGCAAGAGUGCGUCGAGGUUGUUCCGCGGCAAUUUAUGAAACUCGGCGCCGGCAGUGAGUUGAGGGUUCGGCGAGGUCAGGGAUUCCUAGUUGCAGCGUGAUUACCAACGCCAGCUCCCUUCACUGUCCAAGACAGCGAUUCCGCGGCUCCUCUCAGAACUGGCGCUUUGUUCAUCAUUUACCAUUUAAGCUACUUGCAGUCACGUCACACCUUGGAUCUCUAUCAUCAAAACUAUUCCACCUCGGAAAUCUUACCUAAAUGCAGCAUGCCAUCCUGAACGUCUCUCCCUGUCCUAGCUCUGUAACUGUUUACAUUGCUCAGGUACCUGAAUAUUGGCUUUGUGUCUAAAGUUUCUGGAACUUUCCUCCUUACCGUGAAAUAACUUGGCUUAAAUCACACUGCAUAUAGUACACAGGUGCUUAGCUCAAGCCUGAGAAUUACUGCAAUCUAGUAAGGCGGAUUUGAACUACUGUGGGAGUUCUAUUUAGGAAGAUGCAGCCUCUGAGCAAGUUGAUGGCUAUCUCAAAACCUCGAAACCUGUCUGUACGUGAACAAAGAGAGGUUCUGAGAGCAGAUAUGUCUUGGCAGCAGGAAACCAUCCCCGUCGUGGAGACACAUGACUCUGAGGCAUCUCGUCAAAAGUUCAGACAUUUCCAGUAUUUGAAAAUGUCUGGGCCCCAUGAAGCCCUGAGCCAACUCUGGGAGCUCUGUCUUCAAUGGCUGAGACCAGAGAUUCAUACAAAGAAGCAGAUUAUAGAACUGUUGGUGCUGGAACAAUUCCUGGCAAUCCUGCCUGAAGAAGUCAGGACUUGGGUGAAUUUACAACAUCCAAACAACAGUGAAGAUAUGGUGACCCUCAUAGAAGAUGUGAUUGAAAUGCUUGAAGAUGAAGAUAUGCCCUGCAAGGACUCUGCCCCGCAGAUGGGGAGCAUCAAGGAGAAAAUGAAAGCUGGCUCACGAACAGGCAAACCACAGCACAUCUACUUUCCAAACCAUUUGAGAGCCUUAAGUUGGAGAGUAAGAAAAAAAGAUGGAUAAUGGAGAAAGAAAUACCAAGGAAGACUAUUUUUGACAUGAAGAGUAUUUCUGGAGAAGAAUCAUCCCAUGGAGUGAUUAUGACAAGGCUUACCGAAAGUGGACACCCUUCUUCAGAUGCCUGGAAAGGUGAGAAUUGGUUAUAUAGGAACCAGAAAAAAUGGGACAUAAAUUUGCCACAAGAGGCUUUCAUUCCUGAGACAAUUUACACUGAGGAGGAAGAUUUUGAAUGUAGUGAAAAUAAGAAAAGCUUUGAUAUUAAUUCAAUUAGCUCAAUUUGUGCUAUACAACAGGGAAUUCCUUCAAGAAAGGGGUCUCCAAAAUGUGAUAAGUUUAAAACUCACUUCAAAUUUAAUUUAGACUCAGUAGGUAAGCAACAUUCAGAAUAUGAAUAUGGGAAUGACUUGAGUUUGAGUACAGAUAUUCGACACCAAAAAAGUCAUACUACAAUG
rnacentral:sRNA from 1 species